AUGAAAGGGAUAACUUACGGUGGACUGCUAGCGGCGGUGCUCUUCUGGCAGCAGGACUGGAGGCAGUCGGGGAUGGCGGUGUCCUUGAGAUCGACUUAGAUAGGCAGAGUAAGCCUUAGCGUUUGAUUAUAGGGGGUUUUCCGGCGGCUUGGGGGGGGCUUAAGCCCCCACCAGCCCCCCCUUAAAUCCGUGGCUGAUUGCACAACCACAAGGGAAAAGCAGGGAGCUACAGCAUGCCAUCUUAGCAAAAACAAAACCCAACCUCUAGCAUAAUUACCAAAAACUUCAACUACCCAACUCUGGUAAACAAAAUUUCUGGGAUAAGAACAACGCAAAACGCAAGCAAAAAUCAUCUUCAAAGCAGGACUUUCGGUUAGGCAUUUCGUCGAACAGCAAAUAGGCACCAAAAUUUCACCGACUUUUUUUGCUCAAUUAAGGUCAUUUUCAGCCCCAAAAGUUUGCCAGAAACACAGCAAACAGUCCAAUUAACACAUAUAGCAUGCGUAUUAAAAAAUCAUGAACAAACAACCGAAAAUUGCAACCAAACACAGUCACGGCAGCCUGUUUCAAAGGCUUGAACAAAACUGAAGUUUUAAAGAAGAAAAGAC
rnacentral:lncRNA from 1 species